GAUUAGUGGCGAACGGGUGAKUCUUAGGGAGUAACCUGCCCUUGACUCUGGGAUAAGCCUGGGAAACUGGGUCUAAUACCGGAUAGGAACGUCCACCGCAUGGUGGKUGUUGGAAAGAUUUAUCGGUCAUGGAUGGACUCGCGGCCUAUUAGCUUGUUGGUGAGGUAAUGGCUCACCAAGGCGACGACGGGUAGCCGGCCUGAGAGGGUGACCGGCCACACUGGGACUGAGACACGGCCCAGACUCCUACGGGAGGCAGCAGUGGGGAAUAUUGCACAAUGGGCGAAAGCCUGAUGCAGCGACGCCGCGUGAGGGAUGACGGCCUUCGGGUUGUAAACCUCUUUCAGUAGGGAAGAAGCGAAAGUGACGGUACCUGCAGAAGAAGCACCGGCUAACUACGUGCCAGCAGCCGCGGUAAUACGUAGGGUGCGAGCGUUAUCCGGAAUUAUUGGGCGUAAAGAGCUCGUAGGCGGUUUGUCGCGUCUGUCGUGAAAGUCCGGGGCUUAACCCCGGAUCUGCGGUGGGUACGGGCAGACUAGAGUGCAGUAGGGGAGACUGGAAUUCCUGGUGUAGCGGUGGAAUGCGCAGAUAUCAGGAGGAACACCGAUGGCGAAGGCAGGUCUCUGGGCUGUAACUGACGCUGAGGAGCGAAAGCAUGGGGAGCGAACAGGAUUAGAUACCCUGGUAGUCCAUGCCGUAAACGUUGGGCACUAGGUGUGGGGACCAUUCCACGGUUUCCGCGCCGCAGCUAACRCAUUAAGUGCCCCGCCUGGGGAGUACGGCCGCAAGGCUAAAACUCAAAGGAAUUGACGGGGGCCCGCACAAGCGGCGGAGCAUGCGGAUUAAUUCGAUGCAACGCGAAGAACCUUACCAAGGCUUGACAUGUUCUCGAUCGCCGUAGAGAUACGGUUUCCCCUUUGGGGCGGGAUCACAGGUGGUGCAUGGUUGUCGUCAGCUCGUGUCGUGAGAUGUUGGGUUAAGUCCCGCAACGAGCGCAACCCUCGUUCCAUGUUGCCAGCACGUAAUGGUGGGGACUCAUGGGAGACUGCCGGGGUCAACUCGGAGGAAGGUGGGGACGACGUCAAAUCAUCAUGCCCCUUAUGUCUUGGCUUCACGCAUGCUACAAUGGCCGGUACAAUGGGUUGCGAUACUGUGAGGUGGAGCUAAUCCCAAAAAGCCGGUCUCAGUUCGGAUUGGGGUCUGCAACUCGACCCCAUGAAGUCGGAGUCGCUAGUAAUCGCAGAUCAGCAGACGCGCGGUGAAUACGUUCCCGGGCCUUGUACACACCGCCCAUCAAGUCACGAAAGUCGGUAACACCCGAAGCCGGUGG
rnacentral:rRNA from 1 species